rnacentral:tRNA from 1 species
UGGUAAAACUAGCCUUCCAAGCUAA